rnacentral:tRNA from 1 species
AAGGCUUUAAGUUAAAUAAAACUAAUAUCCUUCAAAGCUAUAAAUAAAGAAAACUCUUUAAGCCUUA